GCUUAGCUAGUUAGAACUUAAGGACUAAGAAUCCUUGUGUCAUUGGUUCGAAUCCACUUCUAAGCG
rnacentral:tRNA from 1 species